AUUGAACGCUGGCGGCAGGCCUAACACAUGCAAGUCGAACGAGUGGCGGACGGGUGAGUAAUGUCUGGGAAACUGCCCGAUGGAGGGGGAUAUCUACUGGAAACGGUAGCUAAUACCGCAUACCAUCGGAUGUGCCCAGAUGGGAGUAGCUUGUAGGUGAGGUAACGGCUCGACUAGGCGACGCUCCCUAGCUGGUCUGGGAGGAUGACCAGUCAAGCUGGAACUGAGACACUGUCCAGACUCCUACGGGAGGCAGCAGUGGGGAAUAGUGCACAAUGGGCGCAAGCCUGAUGCAGCCAUGCCGCGUGUAUGAAGAAGGCCUUCAGGUUGUUUAGUACUUUCAGCGGGGAGUCGUUACCAGCAGAAGAAGCACCGGCUAACUCCGUGCCAGCAGCCGCGGUAAUUC
rnacentral:rRNA from 1 species